UGAGGAUUAUUUUAAUUAGAAUAUUUAGCUGUUAACUAAAAGGUUUAUCUUCAU
rnacentral:tRNA from 1 species